UGUACUUGUGGCCUAGUGGUCAUGGCAUCUGCCCGGUAAGCGGAAGGUCGUGGGUUCGAUUCCCAUCCCUUGACAC
rnacentral:tRNA from 1 species